rnacentral:rRNA from 1 species
AUGGGAACGCGAAGAACCUUACCUAGACUUGGCAUCUCCUGAAUAGUGUAGAGAUACAUGAAGCCCUUCGGGGCAGGAAGACAGGUGGUGCAUGGUUGUCGUCAGCUCGUGUCGUGAGAUGUUGGGUUAAGUCCCGCAACGAGCGCAACCCUUAUUACUAGUUGCUACCAUUAAGUUGAGCACUCUAGUGAGACUGCCCGGGUUAACCGGGAGGAAGGCGGGGAUGACGUCAAAUCAUCAUGCCCCUUAUGUCUAGGGCAACACACGUGCUACAAUGGUGAGUACAGAUAGAUGCGAUACCGCAAGGUGGAGCCAAACUCUAAAACUCAUCCCAGUUCGGAUUGUAGGCUGCAACUCGCCUACAUGAAGUUGGAGUUGCUAGUAAUCGCGAAUCAGAAUGUCGCGGUGAGUACGUUCCCGGGUCUUGUACACACCG